rnacentral:rRNA from 1 species
ACCCGCUGAACUUAAGCAUAUCAAUAAGCGGAGGAAAAGAAACCAACAGGGAUUGCCUCAGUAACGGCGAGUGAAGCGGCAAAAGCUCAAAUUUGAAAUCUGGUCCCGUCGCGGGUCCCGAGUUGUAAUCUGCAGAGGAUGCCUUGGAGGCCGCGCCGGCCGAAGUUCCUUGGAACAGGACGUCACAGAGGGUGAGAAUCCCGUGCGGCCGGCGGCGGACCGCCGUCAAAGGCUCCUUCGACGAGUCGAGUUGUUUGGGAAUGCAGCUCUAAAUGGGAGGUAAAUUUCUUCUAAAGCUAAAUACCGGCUGGAGACCGAUAGCGCACAAGUAGAGUGAUCGAAAGAUGAAAAGCACUUUGGAAAGAGAGUCAAACAGCACGUGAAAUUGUUGAAAGGGAAGCGCUUGCAACCAGACCUGGACGCAGAUGCUCAGUCGGCCCUCCGGGCCGGCGAACUCUUCCGCGUCCAGGCCAGCAUCAGCUCGGGCGGCCGCGUAAAGGCGCCGGGAAUGUGGCUCCCCCUCGGGGGAGUGUUAUAGCCCGACGCGCAAUACGGCCUGCCCGGGCUGAGGUCCGCGCUUCGUGCCAGGAUGCUGGCGUAAUGGUUGU